AACCGUCCCCAACGGCCGCCCGCGCGCGGCUCCCGGGCCCCCUGGCUCCUCCCCUCUGGCCCCUCCGAGCGCUGGGGGUGCUUCCCUCCCCGCCUCGUCGCACUCCCACCUCGCGGGCACGCCGGUGGGCUGUGCCGCCAUGCCCCAACCACAGGCUGCUCACGGGCCUAGGCGCGGCGGCCCGAGAUAGGGGCCCCUGAGCCUCCCGGGGGAGGAGAGAGGCAGCGAGCCGCGCGCUCCGCCCCCUCCCCCCGGGCCGCCGCCGCCGCCUCGCCGCCUCGCCGCCCCAGCCUGGCGGGAGAAGGAGGAGGAGCAGCAGGCCUCCGGGCCCGGCGCCGCCGCCCGCAGGACAUUUCUGAUUCAUUUGCCUCCUUGAAGAGCAUCUGUAGAAGAGGAAGUAAAAGAUGGGUGUGAAAACGUUUACUCAUAGCUCCUCUUCCCACAGCCAGGAAAUGCUUGGAAAGCUAAAUAUGCUGCGAAAUGAUGGACAUUUUUGUGAUAUCACUAUUCGUGUCCAGGACAAAAUCUUCCGGGCACAUAAGGUGGUACUAGCAGCUUGCAGUGAUUUCUUUCGCACCAAACUUGUAGGCCAAGCCGAGGAUGAGAACAAGAAUGUGUUGGAUCUGCAUCAUGUUACAGUGACUGGCUUUAUACCUCUUUUAGAAUAUGCUUACACAGCCACUCUAUCAAUUAACACAGAAAAUAUUAUUGAUGUUCUAGCAGCAGCCAGCUAUAUGCAAAUGUUCAGUGUUGCCAGCACUUGCUCAGAGUUCAUGAAAUCAAGCAUUUUAUGGAAUACACCUAACAGCCAACCCGAAAAAGGUCUAGAUGCUGGACAAGAAAAUAAUUCUAACUGCAAUUUUACUUCUCGAGAUGGGAGCAUUUCUCCCGUGUCCUCAGAGUGCAGUGUGGUAGAAAGAACGAUUCCUGUCUGCCGAGAAUCCCGGAGAAAGCGCAAAAGCUACAUUGUUAUGUCUCCUGAAAGUCCUGUAAAGUGUAGCACACAAACAAGUUCACCCCAGGUAUUGAAUUCUUCAGCUUCCUACUCAGAAAAUAGAAACCAACCAGUUGACUCUUCCUUAGCUUUUCCCUGGACUUUUCCUUUUGGAAUUGAUCGAAGGAUUCAGCCUGAGAAAGUUAAGCAAGCAGAAAAUCCCCGGACUUUAGAAUUACCUGGCCCAUCUGAGGCCGCUAGAAGAAUGGCUGAUUAUGUGACUUGUGAGAGCACAAAAACGACCUUGCCUUUAGGUACCGAAGAAGAUGUCCGGGUCAAAGUCGAAAGGUUAAGUGACGAGGAGGUCCACGAGGAGGUGUCCCAGCCUGUGAGUGCAUCUCAGAGUUCCCUGAGUGAUCAGCAGACAGUUCCAGGAAGUGAACAAGUCCAAGAGGACCUUCUGAUUAGUCCACAGUCUUCCUCUCUAGGCUCAGUAGAUGAAGGCGUUUCGGAGGGGUUGCCUACACUUCAAAGCUCGUCUAGCACUGCCGCUCCUCCGGAUGAUGACGACCGAUUGGAAAAUGUUCAGUAUCCCUACCAACUCUACAUUGCUCCUUCUACCAGCAGUACAGAACGACCAAGUCCAAAUGGUCCCGACAGACCUUUUCAGUGUCCAACCUGCGGGGUGCGUUUCACCCGUAUUCAGAACCUAAAGCAGCACAUGCUCAUCCACUCAGGAAUUAAACCAUUUCAGUGUGACCGCUGUGGGAAAAAGUUCACCAGGGCUUACUCGCUAAAGAUGCAUCGCCUAAAGCAUGAAGUACCACUCCAAAGGCAAAGAACCAUGAUUGACAACAGUCAAGCUGCGGAUGAAAUGACCAGGAACGGAGAAUGAAGUAUGUAAAUCUCAGCUUCGUAGGAAUUCUUAUAUUGCUUUUCUGAUUAAAAUUGCUGUUUACCUGGUCUCUGAAUGUUAAUGCCUGACCAUGUCAUUGCCUGAAUCAGUUUUCCCCUUGCCCGGUCAAUAUGUUCUCUUGCAUAUAUUGGCGUGCUGCCAUAUACAGUAAAAAUAUUGGAGAUAUUCUAUGUUUUAUAUAUAGGUUUAUGUAUUGUUGGGGAUGUUUUCAUUGUGCUCUUUUGGACAUAAUGAAGAAUUCUCGAUUGAGGCUACAUCUUUUUUUUUUUUUUUUUUUUAAGAGGAUGGCAUGUGUUGCCCAGGCCGGAGUAUAGUGGCCAAGUCAUAGCUCACCGCAGCUUUGAACUCCUGGGCUCAGGCCAUUCUGUCUCAGCCUCUUGAGUAUCUAGGAUUAUAGGCAUGCUCCACCACACCUGGCUGACUUCAUUUUUAUUUUUUGUGGAGACGAGGUUUCACUAUGGUGCCCAGGCUGGUCUUGAACUCCUCGGCCAAGUGAUCCUCCUCCUCUGGACUCCCAAACUGCCGGGAUCACUGCACCAGCCAAGGCUACAUUCUUAACCCAACUAGAUUGUUUACUAAAUCCCAUAUGACAGCGAUACAUUGUCCUUACGUAUUUUUAGACAUUGCAAAGUUAUUAAAAAUAGUUACUAUUGUUUUUACACAAUGUAGGCAACAAUGUAAAAGAUGAAUAUAGACUGUAAGAUUUUCAUCUAUGACUCAUAGAUCUGGGAGAAAAAAGAAAAUUGUUAAGACUAAUGAGAAACUGAAAACCUUAAACUAAUGAAUAUUACCACUUGUGCUGCCGAAAGUGUGAAACUUUUCUGGUCUGUAGUUGAAAUUUAUAUGAUCCUCUAGACUUGGGUAUACUUCUCAUCUGGUGCCAUUAAAGCGUCUCUAAUACUGAUCCUAAAUAUUUGUAAGUCCAUGAACAGUGAACUUUGGAAUAAGUUUCUGUGUAGAUACCCAAAGUUUAAUAAUUAUGAGAGCACCUGAUUUGAUUAGAAAAGAGACAGAAAAUAGUUCUUUAGUCAAAACACAAGAUCUGAAUUUUGUUCAGAUGCUAGACCAUACUAAAUGUAUAUAUUUUUAAUUAUAGUGAUUUGUUUCAUUUUUUUAGAUUGGCUAAUUCUGUAAUUUUUUCCCCAAAAACAUGAAGAAAGGAAAAGUAAAUUCCUUAGAACUGUUUUAGGUUAGGAUUCUGUCUCUGCCUAUAUUCUGCAGUCCUUAACUUGUUUUCAGUUCUUUACCUCACUCAUGAACUUGUUUUUACCCAUGUGCUCCCAAACAGAAGUGUGUUCUCUUCAGGAGAAUCAGCAUAUACAGGUUAUGAUAGGCUCCCACUAUUUAUGCUUCUUCACUGAUAGGGUUGAAUUACUUUCUGCAGCAGACUAUAAUACUUCAUAUAGUAAUGCUGUGUCUCAACUGGAGAGGUCAGGAAUUUUAAUGUCACAUUGUGGUCUUUGAAAACUGUUAGGCCUACCAAUAGAUAAAUCUCAAAAUUAAUUCUAAAAUCUGUAUUGACAAGAAUAGGUAAAAUUAUCACCAGGAAUCAUUGUUACCCUUAGUUCCAAGAGGUUUUUUUUUUUUUUUUUUUUUUUGAAAGAGCAAGAGGAAAGAAAUAAGAAUAAAGAAAUGUGUAAGAAUGGUUUGCAGAUUUAUUGGUUAAGUGUUUUUUAGUACAUCCCCGAUCCUAAAAACUUCACAUUAAGAGAUGCAAGCACAGUUUUGGUAGCUCUAAGAUACUCUGUUCUCAGAAUGAAGGAUUACCCAUCACUGGGUAUUCCUUCCCAAGUAGAAACUUUAGAUUUUCACUGGUAAUUACAAAUUGCCAAGUUUUAUGGGAAAUCUGAAUAUACUGUGAAAAUUCAUAUCUGGUUAGUUGUCUGCUGCCCAGAUCUUACCAAUACCAGUAACUAACCAGAAUUUAACAUAAAAUGAUACAAACAAAGGCCUUUUUCUAUUUCAGUGAGGGUACAUUUUUCUUGAUACAUGUACUUCAAGGAUAUUGGAUCUGUUUAUGGAUCUGUUUUAGGAAACAGAUUUGCAAGGGAUAAUUGUAUAUAUAGUAGUAUUUAGAUUUAUUUCAAAUUCAUCUUAGGGAUGCCUAGAUGCAUAAUUUUUACCAGGACAUAUUGAAAAUAUUGCAAAGAGAUAGCCAGUUAUAUUAUCCCAUUCAUUAGAAAUUACCAGUAUAACUAAACAAAUAUUCCAGUUUUAGAACUUAAACGUAGCUAUCUUUCUUAAAGCCAGGAGGGUAACUUUGUGGUAUCUAAAGGGCUUAAAUUUCAGAAUGCAGAAUAAAUUGCCUUUUUAAAACCAAACAUUUUAUACAAGAAAAGAUUUUAUUUUCAGUUUUUUAACUACCAAAUAGGUGUGAUGUACUUUAGAAGUAAGCAAAAAAGAUGUUCACCCAUGAUAAUGGAUGUUAAAUCUCCUACAAUUGUUCUUCUCAUGUUUAAAGGGUAUAUUCUAAUAGUGGAAGCAUCUAGCAUGUCAGUGAUUUCAUCUAAUUCAGAAACAAAGGGAUUAAUAUUGGUCUUUAUUUUUUGGCAUUUUAAGUUUUAUAUAAAUGGAUGCAGAUGGAGAUUAUCACCCACAAAUAUAUUUAAGUGGAUUUUUCUCAAUUUGAAUUUCAAGUAAUUUUUUUUAUUUCAAGUAAUUAUACUUUUGGUUACAUUGCCGGUUUUUUUAAGUUCUCAAUUUCAGUAAGACAAAAUAUACUAAAAUGUUUAAAUAGCUUCAUUCAAUCUUACAUUUUGACAUUUCAGCAACUGUUCUGGCUUACAGUAAUUAGGUCCCCUGUUAUGAGACAUGCCCUUUGUUAUUAAUAACUAGCAAAAGAAAAAAAAAACCUUUCAUCAUGUUAAAAUACUUUACCAAAUGAAAUAGACUAGUUAACACAUCUAAUGUCGUCCAUAGUUAUUGGUAACUCAGUUACCUUCUAACUAAGGCCAGUUCAGGAGACUCUCCCAGUUUAUAAAUGGUUCCCUUGGGAGCCUUUGGAAGCUGUAUUAAAUAUUUCUUUUAUUUCUUCUUUUAUUCUCUUAAUCUAAAUAGAGGCCAGUUAUCUAUUUUAUGCAUUUUUAUCUUGAAGAUUCUCAGAUUAUGUUUUAGUCCCUUUUAGCUUUAAUAGUCCUUGAAAAAUACAUUACUGUAUAAUGUAGUGGCAAUUCUGUAACACACAGAGAAUUAUUCUUAUUACUUGAAUGAAUCCUAAAAUUUUAAUAUUUUAGCUGAAAAGUGUGAGAUUUGUGGAAUUGAUGAACAAAAGAAUUAGAAACUUUCGUAUGGUACUUUGUUUCACUCAUCUGCAAAGUGUGAAGCUGUAAUUCUGAAAUAGACAUCCAAGUGAAUGAGAAUUAAAAAUUUUCUGAAUAUUAAUACUAACUGGGAAAGAAAAACACUAGUGUGAAGUUUACAGUUAGAAGAAACAGACCCAAAGUUGCCAAAAGGUAAUAAAUAAAUGUAGUUUUCACUGUAAGUUAUUGAAGUAAGAUGCUUUAUUUGUAAUAUAUUUAGAUUUUGAAAGUUAUUGAGAGAUGAAUGUAUAAAAGCUAAAUUUUCUUUUCUGAAGCAGCGAAACAAAAUUGGGGUAACAAGGAAGCUCUAUGGUGGCAAACAUGUCUGUGAGGAAUAUUAAGCACAGUCCCACAGGCUUUAAACUCAAAUCAUGAACAUUUAAAUUAAGUCGUUCCUUAUUUUGCCUAUACUCAUUUUUAUCUUUCAGUGUCGUUUUUGCUUGACAGAGUAUAGUGACAGAGUGUUUUUAUUUGGAAAGUCCUCAGCAAGAUGAAUUAGCCAAAAGCAAUAAUGGUUCAGAUUAAACAAUGAAGUGGAAUUGAUUCAGUCCCAGGCCCAACUAAGGAACAGUUGUUCUCUGGGUGUCUCAUUUUAGACGAUCGAUAAGUUGAGAUGUUGUAAUAUUUAUGGGGGGUUAAGCCUAUAUCAGUUAUGGGAUGAAGACUGGUAGUACCAGUACCAUCAGUAGUCAUACUUUUUUUUUACUUUUUACUAAACUAAUACUAGACAUUUCCACUCUGUCAUGAUUAUAUUUUUAUGACAGGAAAAUAAAAACAGUUCCAUGUUUUUAUAAAUAGUCUCUGCAAAGAUUUCAGAUGUUAUUGGUAUCUCGGUUUGGCAGUAUCUGAAAAAUUGAGAUUGCCUUUAAAGUGUUCAUGCUACUUUUACUUAAGUAAACCCCCACUGUAUAAGACCCAGGCCGGUUCCAUCUAAUACCAAGGUUUCUAUGUGCAUAAUAGUUUACAAAGACUAUGGAUUAAAAAUAAAAAUUUUUUUAACUUUAAAAUUUUUAAUUUUUGUUCAAAGUAUCUGGUUUAUAAAGUCAAAUUCUUUUAUUAUUUCCUUUCUCUUUUAAAUUGACUGAUUUUGCUGAUUAAGCGUAAAGUCCCAGGCACAGUUGUGAUGACAUACUGAUAAAAUGGGUGCCUAGUGGGUUGAGGAGCUCCAGUGUCAUGACUUUUGUUAAAUUGCCCUUGUUUUCCCAAAUGCCAAUCUAGCCGUAUUUAGAUUUCAUUAUUCAAUAAAACAGAUUAAAAAUCAUCCCAUAAAUGAAUGUUGAGGUUACCAAAGUACAUCACCUGCUGAGGAAGGAGAAAUCUUCCUGCUUUAAGGGAGCCCUGCCGUCUCUCCUUUACACGUUGUUUCCCUUGGUAUUAGUGGAAGCUCUGUUCAAGAUGGGAAGCCUUUCCUGCAGUUCUUAGAAGCACCUGCUUUCUAAAGAGAGCCUUUUCUAGGAUUAGGUUAUGUGUGUUUUCUCUAGGAGAUUUUUUUGUUUCAGUUACCAAUUUAAUUUUCAAGUUGACAGAUGCUAUGUGAAGUCUCUCAUACUGAGAGUAGUCCAUUAAAGUUUUGAAAGUUGCACUGCUUUUCAUCUUUCAGGUACCUGAAAUGAAUGACAUCAGGUGUUUGGAAGGAGUAAGAUCAUAAACUUUAUUCAUUUUCUUCCUUGUACAAAGUGAUGACUUCUAAUGCUUAUAUCUCAAGGUAUUUUUUAAAAAAGCAACAGUCCCUAAUAGAGCAAAAUUUGGUUUUGGUUCAAGUUCCCGAUAAUAUAUUUGAUGUUUCUGUUGUUACUGGUGCCUCCUGUUGCAUCAGAUAGAGAUUGCCUGCCUCUUUGUAGGGCACCCUUGUGGCACCUUAUGUCCAACUUGGAGGAUAGUAUAGGGCUUCUUUGUGCCUCUACUAUCUUUUCAAAAGCCAUUUUAUAAAAAUCCUAGGUAGCCUAUUUUAAUAUUUAAAUAUAUAUAUUUGUGAAAGAACUUUUACAACAGACUUUUUUUUUUUACUUUAAAAUUCCUGUAUUUCCAUUUUUAAGAGUAAAUUUAAUCUCCAGGAUAUAGAAGUGUCUUUUUUCCAGAGAAGCAUAAUGAGAAAGUCAGAUUGAGGUAAUAGACCAGAAUUAAGUGAUAGAAGAAGCUGUUGUUUGGUUAAAGGACACAGGUUUGAAGGAAAAAAAUUUUGAUGUAACAAAUUUUUAAAUAAAAUUUUGUUUUUGUUCUGUAAUUUCAUAUUUGCUGCUACAGUAGCUCAGUCUUUUACAGGGCUAACAUAAAUCUGGCUCCAUUUAAAAACUGGAGUACUUCCUAGUGCAGCCAGCCUAGGCAGAAACUGUACACCAUGGUCUUCCAGCUGGGUGACUGAUGGCUUUGUGUAGCUGAUGCAUGCUUUAAUAUUUGCCUGUAGCCCUGCAGCAAGGAAGUUGGGGUAGGGGGACUUUUUUACCCUGCCAGUUAGACCAUUAUGAUUCUUUCUGGGCACUGGCAUUUUGUGAAACUCUCAAGGGAAGGUGAUGCAGGGGAGAAAAUGUGAAUUAAAUUACAUAGAUGGGUGUUUUUAUGUCUUCUACCCCUUUCCUAGAAUUAGUACAACUCUUAACUGUGCCAGUCCCCAGUUCACCAGCUUUGUAUCCAGUCGUCAUCUCAUUCAAGUAUGGCUUUACUUGGUGACACUGGCCAUAGCUAAGUUACUUGGCAUGUUUGACUUUUGACAAUAACAGAAAUGGUUUUGGAUUUUGUUUUAUUUCCAAAAAAUGUAUACAAUGUCAGAACUUCACAUUUUAUAUACUAGUAUCUGGCUAUUAGUAUUUUACAGGAACCAUAGUUCUUGGUGACUACAUAUAUAUAUAUAUAUAUAUUUUUGUGACCUUUUUUGUAAACUAAGUGCCGUUUCAACGUUACAAUCAUUUUUAGAGUUAUUGUAAUCAAUGUGAAUAUCAUGUUUUUUCAAAUCUGUUCUGAGCCUAUAGUGUUUGCUUUGUGAACAUAAGUGUAUUGUAUAUAUUCUGUAUAGUUAUAUUGUACUGAAAUUAGCUUGUUUGAUAUAAGGAAAAUAUGUAUUGAGUACCUUUUUGCUAGCCUGAUUGUUUAAUCUUUUUAAAAAAGGUUUAAACUUUUUUUAAAAAAAAAAAAUUCUUUAAACUGGCCUUUAUUUACAUGGUCACACAUAAAGUUGCAGUUAGGAAAGGGAUGGGCAGGGAAAAACUAGUUUUGAGUGUCUUUAGAUAGAAACAUGAGACUAAGGUUUGGUUUUGUUUUCGUUUUCUCAUUAAAAUAUCUUAUGCUUUAUGGAAUAAAA